UGGGGAAUUUUGGACAAUGGGGGCAACCCUGAUCCAGCAAUGCCGCGUGAGUGAAGAAGGCCUUCGGGUUGUAAAGCUCUUUUGUCAGGGAAGAAACGGUAGUAGCGAAUAACUAUUACUAAUGACGGUACCUGAAGAAUAAGCACCGGCUAACUACGUGCCAGCAGCCGCGGUAAUACGUAGGGUGCAAGCGUUAAUCGGAAUUACUGGGCGUAAAGCGUGCGCAGGCGGUUGUGUAAGUCAGAUGUGAAAUCCCCGGGCUCAACCUGGGAAUUGCAUUUGAGACUGCACGGCUAGAGUGUGUCAGAGGGGGGUAGAAUUCCACGUGUAGCAGUGAAAUGCGUAGAUAUGUGGAGGAAUACCGAAGGCGAAGGCAGCCCCCUGGGAUAACACUGACGCUCAUGCACGAAAGCGUGGGGAGCAAACAGGAUUAGAUACCCAAGUAGUCCCUGAGCGGGCUGGCAAGGCGCAU
rnacentral:rRNA from 1 species